rnacentral:rRNA from 1 species
GAUUUCUUCGGAAUGAAAAUAAGUGGAUUAGUGGCGAACGGGUGAGUAACACGUGAGUAACCUGCCUUACACAAGGGGAUAGCCUUUGGAAACGAAGAAUAAUACCCUAUGACGUCAAUUUAUCGCAUGAUAGAAUGACCAAAGAUUUAUCGGUGUAAGAUGGACUUGCGUCUGAUUAGCUAGUUGGUGAGAUAAAAGCCCACCAAGGCGACGAUCAGUAGCCGGCUUGAGAGAGUGUACGGCCACAUUGGGACUGAGACACGGCCCAAACUCCUACGGGAGGCAGCAGUGGGGAAUUUUGCACAAUGGGGGAAACCCUGAUGCAGCGACGCCGCGUGAUUUAGAAGGCCUUCGGGUUGUAAAAAUCUUUUUUAUGGGAUGAAAAUGACAGUACCAUAAGAAUAAGGUCCGGCUAAAUACGUGCCAGCAGCCGCGGUAAUACGUAUGGACCGAGCGUUGUCCGGAAUCAUUGGGCGUAAAGGGUACGUAGGCGGCCUAGUAAGUUAGAAGUGAAAUAAUAUAGCUCAACUAUAUAAAGCUUUUAAAACUGUUAGGCUUGAGAGAUGAAAGGGAAAGUGGAAUUCCUAGUGUAGCGGUGAAAUGCGCAGAUAUUAGGAAGAAUACCGGUGGCGAA